rnacentral:rRNA from 1 species
CCUACGGGAGGCAGCAGUGAGGAAUAUUGGUCAAUGGGCGGGAGCCUGAACCAGCCAAGUAGCGUGAGGGAUGAAGGCCCUACGGGUCGUAAACCGCUUUUGCAAGGGGAUAACACGCUCCACGUGAGCAGGUCUGCAGGUACCGUGCGAAUAAGGGUCGGCUAAUUCCGUGCCAGCAGCCGCGGUAAUACGGAAGGCCCGAGCGUUAUCCGGAUUUAUUGGGUUAAAAGGGAGCGUAGGCGGGCGUUCAAGUCAGCGGUAAAAUCGCGCGGCUCAACCGCGCCCCGCAGUUGAAACUGGGCGCCUUGAGUUCACGACAGGCAGGCGGAAUUCGUGGUGUAGCGGUGAAAUGCAGAGAUAUCACGAGGAACCCCGAUUGCGAAGGCAGCCUGCCGGGGUGCGACUGACGCUGAGGCUCGAAAGUGCGGGUAUCAAACAGGAUUAGAUACCCCUGUAGUC